AGGAGUUUAAGAGUCGAACAGACUCAAUUUCAAUCAUUUUUCUGUUUGCAUUGUUCCUAAUCCAACAUCGAGGUCGCAUUACAUUUUGUUAAUAUGAUCUUUUGAAAAGUUGUGCG
rnacentral:rRNA from 1 species